GCUUCUAAUGAUGAUGUUUCUACAAAACUUUCGUUCUCCUGAGCUUAUCAGUGCUGAGAAACUGGAGACCUGAACUGAAGAGCA
rfam:Prunus persica cultivar Lovell chromosome G1, whole genome shotgun sequence.